rnacentral:rRNA from 1 species
UACGUAGGGUGCAAGCGUUAAUCGGAAUUACUGGGCGUAAAGCGUGCGCAGGCGGUUUUGUAAGUCUGUCGUGAAAUCCCCGGGCUCAACCUGGGGAUUGCGAUGGAGACUGCAAGGCUAGAAUCUGGCAGAGGGGGGUAGAAUUCCACGUGUGAGCAGUGAAAUGCGUAGAGAUGUGGAGGAACACCGAUGGCGAAGGCAGCCCCUGGGUCAAGAUUGACGCUCCAUGCACGAAAGGCGUGGGGAGCAAACAGG